UCCGCCAGGGUACUACAAGCGCUAGCUUAAAACCCAAAGGACUUGACGGUGUCUCAGACCCACCUAGAGGAGCCUGUUCUAGAACCGAUAAUCCCCGUUAAACCUCACCACCCCUUGUUUUUUCCGCCUAUAUACCGCCGUCGCAAGCUUACCCUGUGAAGGUCUAAUAGUAAGCAAAAUGGUAAUACACCAAAAUGUCAGGUCGAGGUGUAGCUCACGAGGUGGGAAGAAAUGGGCUACAUUUUCUACUUCAGAAUAUUACGAAUAAUACUAUGAAAUUAGUAAUUGAAGGUGGAUUUAGCAGUAAAAA
rnacentral:rRNA from 1 species